rnacentral:rRNA from 1 species
UUCAGCGAGGAAGAAAGCGUGCCGUUUAAUACACGGUACGGACGACAUCACUCGCAGAAGAAGCACCGGCUAACUCCGUGCCAGCAGCCGCGGUAAUACGGAGGGUGCAAGCGUUAAUCGGAAUUACUGGGCGUAAAGCGCGCGUAGGCGGCGUGUCACGCCGGGUGUGAAAGCCCCGGGCUCAACCUGGGAACGGCAUCCGGAACGGGCAGGCUAGAGUGCAGGAGAGGAAGGUAGAAUUCCCGGUGUAGCGGUGAAAUGCGUAGAGAUCGGGAGGAAUACCAGUGGCGAAGGCGGCCUUCUGGACUGACACUGACGCUGAGGUGCGAAAGCGUGGGUAGCAAACAGGAUUAGAUACCCUGGUAGUCCACGCCGUAAACGAUGUCGACUAGCCGUUGGGUCCCUUGAGGACUUAGUGGCGCAGUUAACGCGAUAAGUCGACCGCCUGGGGAGUACGGCCGCAAGGUUAAAACUCAAAUGAAUUGACGGGGGCCCGCACAAGCGGUGGAGCAUGUGGUUUAAUUCGAUGCAACGCGAAGAACCUUACCUACCCUUGACAUCCUGCGAACCCGGAAGAGAUUCCGGGGUGCCUUCGGGAGCGCARAGACAGGUGCUGCAUGGCUGUCSUCASCUCSUGUUGUGAAAWGUUGNGGUUAA